rnacentral:rRNA from 1 species
UAAGACUGGAUAGGAAAUAAAAAGGCAUCUUUUUAUUUUUAAAAGACCUUUUUCGGAAGGUAUGCUUAAAGAGGGGCUUGCGUCACAUUAGUUAGUUGGCAGGGUAAAGGCCUACCAAGACUAUGAUGUGUAGCUGGACUGAGAGGUUGAACARCCACAUUGGGACUGAGACACGGCCCAAACUCCUACGGGAGGCAGCAGUAGGGAAUUUUCGGCAAUGGAGGAAACUCUGACCGAGCAACGCCGCGUGAACGAUGAAGUAUUUCGGUAUGUAAAGUUCUUUUAUUGAAGAAGAAAAAAUAGUGGAAAAACUAUCUUGACGAUAUUCAAUGAAUAAGCCCCGGCAAACUAUGUGCCAGCAGCCGCGGUAAUACAUAGGGGGCGAGCGUUAUCCGGAAUUAUUGGGCGUAAAGGGUGCGUAGGCGGUUUAAUAAGUCUAUAGUUUAAUUUCAGUGCUUAACACUGUCCUGCUAUAGAAACUAUUAGACUAGAGUGAGAUAGAGGCAAGUGGAAUUCCAUGUGUAGCGGUAAAAUGCGUAAAUAUAUGGAGGAACACCAGAGGCGUAGGCGGCUUGCUGGGUCUUUACUGACGCUGAGGCACGAAAGCGUGGGGAGCAAACAGGAUUAGAUACCCUGGUAGUCCACGCCGUAAACGAUGAGUACUAAGUGUCGGGAUUACUCGGUACUGAAGUUAACACAUUAAGUACUCCGCCUGAGUAGUACGUACGCAAGUAUGAAACUUAAAGGAAUUGACGGGACUCCGCACAAGCGGUGGAUCAUGUUGUUUAAUUCGAAGAUACACGAAAAAACCUUACCAGGUCUUGACAUACUCUGCAAAGCUAUAGCAAUAUAGUGGAGGUUAUCAGGGAUACAGGUGGUGCAUGGUUGUCGUCAGCUCGUGUCGUGAGAUGUUAGGUUAAGUCCUAAAACGAGCGCAACCCUUGUCAUUAGUUGCCAGCAUGUCAUGAUGGGCACUUUAAUGAGACUGCCAAUGAAAAAUUGGAGGAAGGUGAGGAUCACGUCAAAUCAUCAUGCCCCUUAUGAUCUGGGCUACAAACGUGAUACAAUGGCUGUUACAAAGAGUAGCUGAAACGCAAGUUUAUAGCCAAUCUCAUAAAAGCAGUCUCAGUUCGGAUUGAAGUCUGCAACUCGACUUCAUGAAGUUGGAAUCGCUAGUAAUCGCGAAUCAGCAUGUCGCGGUGAAUACGUUCUCGGGGUUUGUACAACCCGCCCGU